rnacentral:rRNA from 1 species
GUGAAAAGCACUUCGAACAGAAGAGUGAAAUAGUCCCUGAACCCAUACGCCUACAAGCAGUCGGAGCCGCUUCGUGCGGUGACGGCGUGCCUUUUGCAUAAUGAGCCUACGAGUUACUCAUCACCAGCGAGGUUAAGUACUUCAGGUACGUAAGCCGAAGCGAAAGCGAGUCUGAAUAGGGCGUCAAGUUGGUGGUGGUAGACGCGAAACCUUAGUGAUCUACCCAUGGGCAGGGUGAAGGUUUGGUAACACAAACUGGAGGCCCGAACCGGUAAACGUUGAAAAGUUUUCGGAUGACCUGUGGGUAGGGGUGAAAGGCCAAUCAAACUGGGAAAUAGCUCGUACUCUCCGAAAUGCAUUUAGGUGCAGCCUCUGUUGUUUUGUUCUAGAGGUAGAGCUACUGAUUGGAUGCGAGGGCUUCACCGCCUAUCAAAUCCGGCCAAACUCCGAAUGCUAGAACAUGAAGACAGGGAGUGAGCCAGCGGGUGCUAAGGUCCGUUGACGAAAGAGGGAGAACUCAGACCAUCAGCUAAGGUCCCCAAUUAUAUGCUAAGUUGGAAUAAAAACGGGGUGGGACUGCUUAGACAGCUAGGAUGUUGGCUUGGAAGCAGCCAUUCAUUUAAAGAGUGCGUAACAGCUCACUAGUCGAGCGGUCCUGCAUGGAUAAUACGCGGGCAUAAGCAUAUAACCGAAGCUAUGGGAUUGUAGAUGAUACAAUCGGUAGGAGAGCAUUCCAUUCAGCAUAGAAGCAGUAUCGUGAGGUAUUGUGGAGCGGAUGGAAAAGCAAAUGUAGGCAUAAGUAACGAUAAUGCGGGUGAGAACCCCGCACGCCGAAAGAUCAAGGAUUCCCCGGCAAUGUCAAUCAUCCGGGGGUAAGUCGGAUCCUAAGGGUAAGCCGAGUGGCGAUCCCGAUGGCAAACAGGUUAAUAUUCCUGUACUGAUCAUAACUGCGAUGCAGCGACGCAGAGGUGACACUGCUGCGUACUGACGGAAUAGUACGUUGAAACCCGUAUUCUUUGAUACCGGUAGUGAAGCACGCCGGUAGAGAUGAAAGGUGAUAGUACCGCAAUGCUUCGGUUGCGCGGAUAAUGCAGGUAAGCUGACUGCCAAGAAAACCUGCUAAGCUUCAGGUAAUGAUCAUCCGUACUGUAAACGGACACACGUGAUCAGGUAGAAAAUACUAAGGCGCUCGAGAGAUUCAUGGUUAAGGAACUAGGCAAAAUGGUCCUGUAACUUCGGGAUAAAGGACGCUCUUGUGAAAGAGCCGCAGAUAAUAGGCCCAGGCGACUGUUUACCAAAAACACAUGGCUAUGCUAAUUCGCAAGAAGAUGUAUAUGGCCUGACACCUGCCCGGUGCCGGAAGGUUAAGAGGAGAGCUCAGAGGUAACUCGAAGGUUUGAAUUGAAGCCCCGGUAAACGGCGGCCGUAACUAUAACGGUCCUAAGGUAGCGAAAUUCCUUGUCGGGUAAGUUCCGACCUGCACGAAUGGUGUAACGAUCUGGGUACUGUCUCAACCAUGAGCUCGGUGAAAUUGUAGUUCCGGUGAAGAUGCCGGAUACCCGCAACGGGACGGAAAGACCCCGUGAACCUUUACUGCAGCUUUGCAUUGAUUUUGGGUAACAGAUGUGUAGGAUAGGUCGGAGGCUUUGAUGCUGCGUCGUCAGGCGUAGAGUAGCCGUCGUUGAAAUACGACCCUUUUGUUAUCUGAGGUCUAAUCCCGUUAGGGAGACAUUGCAUGGUGGGUAGUUUGACUGGGGUGGUCGCCUCCAAAAGUGUAACGGAGGCUUCUCAAGGUACCCUCAAGGCGUUUGGUAAUCGUCUGCAGAGUGCAAUGGCAUAAGGGUGCUUGACUGUGAGACCGACACGUCGAUCAGGUUGGAAACAAGAGCAUAGUGAUCCGGUGGUUCCGCAUGGAAGGGCCAUCG